rnacentral:pre_miRNA from 1 species
UGGAUAGAUUAUUGUAUUCAACUGUAUUCACGACGUGAAAUAGGGGAUUACACUAUUUUUAAAACGGAAAGUGAAUCAAUUAACAUAAUAGUCUCCU